rnacentral:rRNA from 1 species
GACGAACGCUGGCGGCGUGCUUAACACAUGCAAGUCGAACGGAAAGGCCCUGCUUUUGUGGGGUGCUCGAGUGGCGAACGGGUGAGUAACACGUGAGUAACCUGCCAUUGACUUUGGGAUAACUUCAGGAAACUGGGGCUAAUACCGGAUAGGAGCUCCUGCUGCAUGGUGGGGGUUGGAAAGUUUCGGCGGUUGGGGAUGGACUCGCGGCUUAUCAGCUUGUUGGUGGGGUAGUGGCUUACCAAGGCUUUGACAGGUAGCCGGCCUGAGAGGGUGACCGGCCACAUUGGGACUGAAAUACGGCCCAGACUCCUACGGGAGGCAGCAGUGGGGUAUAUUGUACAAUGGGCGGAAGCCUGAUGCAGCAACGCCGCGUGCGGGAUGAGGGCCUUCGGGUUGUAUUCCGCUUUCGCCUGUGACGAAGCGUGAGUGACGGUAAUGGGUAAAGAAGCACCGGCUAACUACGUG